rnacentral:tRNA from 2 species
GGAGGAGUGGCUGAGUGGUUGAAAGCGGCGGUCUUGAAAACCGUUGUGCCGCAAGGCACCGUGGGUUCGAAUCCUACCUCCUCCG